rnacentral:tRNA from 7 species
GCCCCCGUAGCUCAGUGGAUAGAGCAGCGGUUUCCUAAACCGCGUGCGCUGGUUCGAUUCCGGCCGGGGGCA